AUGGCAAUAAAUCUUUUCUUUCUGUCUGAGACUCUGAGCCCAGUCUCCGAGGACUCAGCUGCUCAGCCUGCUGCGGCUGUAGCUUGUCUGAGACAUUUUGGGGAAACACUGCCAAUUCAGUGCCAUUUAUCUCCCUCCUUUCUGGGAGCUGUAGAAGGUGUUGCUUAUUACUUCACAGUAUAUGUCAGUUGGAGUGACAGCCUCAUAAGACCAGGAGGAUACCUCUUGUGUAUCACCUCUGUUUGUGACCAUUGUUUCUCAUUGUGGGAUAUACAGCUUCAUUUCUGUGAAGAUUCAAUCUCACAUACCACAGAGGACACAGACCUUGGUCCCCUUGGAGCACCAGCAGGACAAGACUUUUGUAUGGUUCUUGCUACCCACCAAGUCUAGACUGAAUUAUUAAGACGUGUUGUUUGCAAAUAUAACCACGGGAAUUAAGUUAAAGGUUGCUUUGAAGGUCCUGCUUUCAAGCUGAAGUCAAUAGGUUUGAGUUUUCUAAGACCUAUUAUAUAAAACUGUUAUCACCUUUAACUGAUAUGUCCUUGUUAUCAAAUGUUGACGGUUUUACAGAAAAAAAACCUUUACCUUUUAGCUGUGGAGCUUAGAAU
rnacentral:lncRNA from 1 species